rnacentral:rRNA from 1 species
UACGGAGGAUGCAAGCGUUAUCCGGAUUUAUUGGGUUUAAAGGGUGCGCAGGCGGACUAAUAAGUCAGUGGUGAAAUUUACAUGCUCAACAUGUAGCGUGCCAUUGAUACUGUUGGACUAGUAUACAAAUGACGUAGCUGGAAUGUGUUAUGUAGCGGUGAAAUGCAUAGAUAUAACACAGAACACCGAUCGUGAAGACAGGUUACGAAUUUGUUAUAGACGCUCAUGCACGAAAGCGUGGGGAGUCAAACA